ACUACGGGAGGCAGCAGUGAGGAAUAUUGGUCAAUGGGCGGGAGCCUGAACCAGCCAAGUCGCGUGAGGGAAGACGGUCCUAUGGAUUGUAAACCUCUUUAGGCGGGGAGCAAUGCCGGGCACGCGUGCCCGGAGGGAGAGUACCCGCAGAAUAAGCAUCGGCUAACUCCGUGCCAGCAGCCGCGGUAAUAAGGAGGAUACGAGCGCUAUCCGGGUUUAAUGGGUUUAAAGGGUGCGUAGGCGGAAUUUUCAGUCAGCGGUAAAAUGUCCGGGCUCAACCCGGGCCGGCCGUUGAAACUGGGGAUCUUGAGUGGGCGAGAAGUAUGCGGAAUGCGUGGUGUAGCGGUGAAAUGCAUAGAUAUCACGCAGAACUCCGAUUGCGAAGGCAGCAUACCGGCGCCCGACUGACGCUGAGGCACGAAAGCGUGGGGAUCGAACAGGAUUAGAUACCCUAGUAGUC
rnacentral:rRNA from 1 species